UUUCACAAAAUUGCGUAAACUGCGUAGGAAACAUUUCAAGCCGUUAAAAUUCAACAGUCAACCAAUCCAAGAAUGCGUUAGUCAUCAUAGCAACUUGAGUACGUUAUUUACAAACAAACAACAAAUCAUGAAAAACAACUGGAAAACUUAAAUGAGAGUAGGAAUGUCGACAGGUAGAUCUGGGAGAAUUAAAUAAAAGACUGGGAAAAGUUAGAUGAAUAAAUGAGUAUGAUCAUAGAACGAGUUGUUUCAAGUGAAAGAGGUUCUGUUCUUAUCGGAUAUUGAAUCGUCACAGUGAGGAAUAAAAUGAACUAGGUGGCAGAGUGUUAUGUCUGAGUCU